AGGACGUCGGUUUUCGGCGAAAUAUGGGUUGCCAUACUUCACAUCUUGCCUCCGACUCCGCCUACAAGAUUCAGACAACCAAUUUCAAAGGAGGAAAUGAAUUCAAACAAAUCGUCGAGAGCAGGACUUUCCAUCCCAGGCACAGUAAGGGUCUCUGGCCAAGCAGCAGUCAGCACAGGCCUCUCCGUACACAUCACACCUGUGCAGCGCCAGAUGAGUGACGCCCACCACUGAACUCACAUACAGCUGUUGCUACACAGGAAGACGGGAUGAAAAAGAACAGUUAGAAGAGUAUCAUUCAAAACACAUCAUAGAGAACAUGUGAAGAAUAUGUUCCAUAUUUGUAAGUUGCUUUGCAUAAAACCAUCUGCUAAAUAACAAUUUAAAUAAUCAGUUUCAAAACUAUAUUUAAUAUUAUUACUAUUAAUAUUUCAAAAAUGUAUUUUUAAAAAUGUUGUGCUUACCCGUUUUGGAGAAAUUUUCAUAGUAGUGAUUGGAGUUGGAACCUGUAAUAAUAAUUAUAGUUAUAUUUUAUAAUAAUAAAAAAAAUAGUAUUUAACAAUAAAGAGUAUGUUGACACAAAGUGUAAUGUAAAUAUAAAUAAAAAAAGGAUCUUACUCUGAAGACCUCAACCUCCUCCAGCACUAGCUCUUCAGUCUGUAGAUCAUCUCUGGGCAGUAUGAUCACUUUCUGAAUAGUUCCUUUAUCUGUAAUUGACCAAAAUAUAGGAGUCAGAGCUAUUUAUAAAAUCGAAUAUUCUUUUUGAGUGAAUGAAGAAUAAAGUUUCCUUUAUUUUUCUGAAAAGCUUUAUAAAAAGGCUUUUAGACCCCACAGUAUGAAUGAAUGAGCCAUAUUUAUACAGCACGUUUAUUGUGUAUUUCUGUAUGCAGUAUGUAUACUUUCUCUAAACAGUAUGUAUACUGUUUAUGUAUAUAAUAAAUAUAUAACUUAAAA